GGCUAGAAUACACAGAGAACGCAACUUAUGCUGACACGUAUACAGCAUUUUACAGAGAAAAAGUUCAUUACAUAUAAAGAGCAUCAGAUGUAGGCCUUAAUUUAAUUAUGCUGAACAUUGGAAUCAAGAUCUAUUCCCUCACAAUACCCAUGUCACGUACAUUAAAGGACCACUCUAGGCACCCAGACCACUUCAGCUUAAUGAAGUGGUCUGGGUGCCAGGUCCCUCUAG